GAGCCCGUAGCUCAGUUGGUAGAGCGACUGACUUUUAAUCAGUAGGUCGCAGGUUCGAUCCCUGCCGGGCUCACCA
rnacentral:tRNA from 1 species